rnacentral:rRNA from 1 species
AACGUAGGGGGCGAGCGUUAUCCGGAUUUACUGGGCGUAAAGCGCAUGUAGGCGGUGGGGUAAGUUGGCCGUGAAAGCUCCCGGCUUAACUGGGAGAGGUCGGUUGAAACUGCCCGACUGGAGGUUGGAAGAGGAGAGUGGAAUUCCCGGUGUAGUGGUGGAAUGCGUAGAUAUCGGGAGGAACACCAGUGGCGAAAGCGGCUCUCUGGACCAAUUCUGACGCUGAGAUGCGAAAGCGUGGGGAGCAAACGGG